CAACAAAGAGUGUUUGGAGCUGUCAGAGUCUGCACAGUCAUGCUCCACAGUCCCUCUGCUCCUGCUUGUAUGCGGGAGUGCCAUUUUUGUUGUAUUCAGACUCCUACCACUUCCCUUGUUGAAGCAUAAUUCUGCAAUACUUACUGAACGCUGCUGAUCUCACAGUUACAGCAGACCAGCAAGAUACUGUAGAAGACUGCCACUUUCAUAUGGAAACAAACACAAGCAAGGAGAGUAAAUGCUUGUCAUGCUAUAGCAAAAAAGUGUUUCUCAGCCUACCUUCCAGAAAGACAUUAGGAACAGAGCAAUUUCUAUCUCCAAGCUAAAUAUGAAGAUGCCUCAUGUCCCCAUCUGCCACCUUGAGUCGGUGCUCACAACGAAGCCAACAGAGUUGAACAGAUAUCAAAACAUGGAAAGAAAGAGCUGGACCCUGGCUGAAAGCCUGAGGUGUAGUCAUCUUCACUAUGCUCCAGCAUUCUGAAUAAGGAUGAAAAGAUAAAGCAAGCCAUGGUGAUAUCCUCUAUCAGAAUAUAAACUUGCAACACACAACUUGUUUUGGACCAGUGGAGACCUCUGUCUCCAGCUGCAGCUCUAACAGAAAUAACAAUGAAUAUAAUAAAUGACAAGUACAAGACA
rnacentral:lncRNA from 1 species